rnacentral:rRNA from 1 species
UACGUAGGCAGCAAGCGUUGUUCGGAAUUACUGGGCGUAAAGAGUGUGUAGGCGGUGUUCUAAGUUUGAUGUGAAAUCUCCCGGCUCAACUGAGGAAGUGCAUCCGAAACUGGCAGGCUAGAGUACUAAAGAGGGUCGCGGAAUUCCCGGUGUAGAGGUGAAAUUCGUAGAUAUCUGGAGGAAUACCGGUGGCGAAGGCGGCAUCCUGGACCGACAUUGACGCUGAACGGCGAAAGCUAGGGGAGCAAACGGG